rnacentral:rRNA from 1 species
UAAGACGAACCGUGCGAACGUUGUUCGGAAUCACUGGGCUUAAAGGGCGCGUAGGCGGCUUCGCAGGUCAGGGGUGAAAGCCCGCGGCUCAACCGCGGAAGUGCCUUUGAUACCGCGAGGCUUGAGGGAGGUAGGGGCGUGCGGAACUUCCGGUGGAGCGGUGAAAUGCGUAGAUAUCGGAAGGAACACCGGUGGCGAAAGCGGCGCGCUGGACCUCUUCUGACGCUGAGGCGCGAAAGCCAGGGGAGCGAACGGG